AAUCUUCGGCAAUGGACGAAAGUCUGACCGAGCAACGCCGCGUGAGUGAAGAAGGUUUUCGGAUCGUAAAACUCUGUUGUUAGAGAAGAACAAGUGGGAGAGUAACUGUUCCCACCUUGACGGUAUCUAACCAGAAAGCCACGGCUAACUACGUGCCAGCAGCCGCGGUAAUACGUAGGUGGCAAGCGUUGUCCGGAUUUAUUGGGCGUAAAGCGAGCGCAGGCGGUCUUUUAAGUCUGAUGUGAAAGCCCUCGGCUCAACCGAGGAAGGUCAUUGGAAACUGGAGGACUUGAGUGCAGAAGAGGAGAGUGGAAUUCCAUGUGUAGCGGUGAAAUGCGUAGAUAUAUGGAGGAACACCAGUGGCGAAGGCGACUCUCUGGUCUGUAACUGACGCUGAGGCUCGAAAGCGUGGGGAGCAAAC
rnacentral:rRNA from 1 species